ensembl:snoRNA
UGGAUCAAUGAUGAUAACUGCCAGCGUAUGAAUCACGGAUGAUGAAUGAUACGUGUCUGGAACUCUGAGGUCCAA